CCUGAAUGGAACCGCGCUCUAAGGGACAGCUAGCGGGUAGGUGUAGGCAACUGUCUCCUCCUACUGAUUAGGGCAGCCGAGGAGAAAUACUACUGACAGCGAGGCACUGCCUAAUUUCUUUAUUAGAAGAUUGUUUUCCGUCUCCUUGGACUCCAUACUAGGAAAUGAAACUUGAAGAAUGUCUUUCGCUCUAAAAAAUUCUAGACCCGUACGCUGUUCUGGGGAGUAGCUGGACCUGUGAUGUAACAUUUUUAAAAAUAGUUCAGUCAGCAAUGGUGGCUCAAAAAGCUGCUUCUGGUUCGUGCAGCACCGAAUGUCUCUCUCAAGGAAACUAACAGACCUGGUUGUCCCUGAACUAGGAUUGGUGAGACAGCUGUCCUCCAUCCUAAGGGAAGCCAGCCCAAGGACAAAGCCAAUAUCUAGAGGAUGGCUGAGUGGAGAGAUGGAAAGAAUUUAGGCCAGUAGAUGAUGACAUUCACAUUCUUGAUCCAUGGAAUCAACCAGCCCUGAAAUCUUUACUUCUGAACUUCCUAUCACAUACUGCUGACUGGGGCAAAGAGAAAUGGAAGAAAAUCAUAUAGGUCCUGGGUAACAGAGGGAAGCCAAUUUAUCAUUUAAAGUGUUCAACAGGGGUGCCUGGGUGGCUCAGUCGUUAAGCGUCUAUCUUCGGCGCAGGUCAUAAUUCUGGGGUCCUGGGUCCUGGAAUUGAGCC